CUUGCGGCCAUAUCAUGUUGAAACACAGGUUUCCCUACGAUCACCCAAGGUAAGCAACAUCGGACGGGGUUCGCACCUAGAUAACUGACCGCUUGGGAAUACCAGGUGCUGUAAG